UAUUCCUACGGGAGGCAGCAGUAGGGAAUAUUGCACAAUGGGGGGAACCCUGAUGCAGCGACGCCGCGUGGGUGAAGAAGCGCCUCGGCGCGUAAAGCCCUGUCAGCAGGGAAGAAAAUGAUGGUACCUGAAGAAGAAGCCCCGGCUAACUACGUGCCAGCAGCCGCGGUAAUACGUAGGGGGCAAGCGUUAUCCGGAUUUACUGGGUGUAAAGGGGGCGCAGACGGCGAUGCAAGCCAGGAGUGAAAGCCCGUGGCCCA
rnacentral:rRNA from 1 species